GAUGAACGCUGGCGGCGUGCCUAAUACAUGCAAGUCGAGCGAACAGACGAGGAGCUUGCUCCUCUGACGUUAGCGGCGGACGGGUGAGUAACACGUGGAUAACCUACCUAUAAGACUGGGAUAACUUCGGGAAACCGGAGCUAAUACCGGAUAAUAUAUUGAACCGCAUGGUUCAAUAGUGAAAGACGGUUUUGCUGUCACUUAUAGAUGGAUCCGCGCCGCAUUAGCUAGUUGGUAAGGUAACGGCUUACCAAGGCAACGAUGCGUAGCCGACCUGAGAGGGGGAUCGGCCACACUGGAAAUGAGACACGGUCCAGCCUCCUACGGGAGGCAGCAGGAGGGAAUCUUCCGCAAUGGGCGAAAGCCUGACGGAGCAACGCCGCGUGAGUGAUGAAGGUCUUCGGAUCGUAAAACUCUGUUAUUAGGGAAGAACAAAUGUGUAAGUAACUAUGCACGUCUUGACGGUACCUAAUCAGAAAGCCACGGCUAACUACGUG
rnacentral:rRNA from 1 species